rnacentral:lncRNA from 1 species
UAGAUUUAAAAGGAGUGAUUUCAUUUUCCUCUGUAUGGAAAAAACGUCUUGGAUCUUAUGGCUCAGUUCAACACAAAAGACGACUCUUUACAGGAUACCUCCUUCCAACAAGAACCUGGUCCAAAGGUCAGUGAUGUAGCCUCUAUUCAGGGUAGGAUUGCUGCUUUGGAGGAGAGUUUGUCAAGGGCUGCAAUCAGAGGCACUGACUAUCCAAAGCCUGACCUUCAGAAAAAAUGGAAAGGAAAAGUACUGUCAUCACCUCCUGAAAAGCAGAGAUACACAGACCUUUCUGGAUCCUCUGUACCCGCUCAUCUUACAAAUGUAGAGAUUAAAUCUGAAGUGCAUGACAGUAAUCACAUUUCCAGAAAGAUGAGUGUCUCUCAUUCUUUAGCCAAGCCAGUGUGUCCUCACAUCAGCAGACUGCCUCUCAUAACAGCUUCUAAAACCGUCCCUGUCCUGAAACCAGAAAACCAGAAGCCAUAUGUGUCAUCUUUUCUAAAUGUAAGCCAGAGCAGUAACAUGUCUUUGGCAGAGGAAAGCAGCGUUACAAAACAGGAAAGCUACAAUGAGAGUGUGGUGAGGCUAAAGACUGUCAGUACUAAACCCUCCAAACUACUUGAAACACCAAAACCUUCCUGUAUCACAAAACCCGAAACCCCAAUUCAAAGUCAGAAGAUAACUGUCCCUCAUAUUCCAACGAAGAAGCUCCUUCCACGUGUGAAUAUUCUGGGAAACCCUCCACUGAAGCCGACCAGACCUGCAACUGUUAACAUUCAGCAAUUCAGAACAUCUUUGAAAGAUGAGCCAGGAGAAAAGAUGCAACAUCAUAGUGCUCCUCCACCUCUAGUGUUCCCACCAUCACCCCAAGCACUGACAAGCCAACAGUUGGAUAAGGAGGAGACCUGUGAUGAUGUUGACAUGAAGUUGCCUCCACUUCCGCAAAAAGGCUACAUGCUGAAGGAGGCAGAGAGUUUUCAAAAAUAUGAGGAAAGUAACAGUGGAAAAGAUUACAUUCUCCAUGGUGAAUUCAUGUCAGAGCUCCGAGGAAUUUUCAACAGAGAGAGGAAGAAAAUAAAGGCUAAGAAUGAGCAAAAAACACAUCUGAAGCAGGAAAAGAAACGACAGAAAUCCAAGGAGAAGAGGGGAAGUAAAACAAAGACCAAGAUUAGAGGAUCUGUUUAUGUUCCCAAAAAAGGGAGGAAACUCCCUUAUUUCAAUGGCGGAAAUCGUGACUCAAAGUCCAAAAAGAAGGAGACAGCUCAUGUAAAGCACAACGACUUAGAGAUGCCACAGCCUCUGUCUGACCACGAAGACUCAGACGAUUAUGAAUACAUUGAUGCACCAGCUAAACUUAGCAGUGGGCUCAACAUGCAAAACUCAUGGGAAGAUUAUGAUGAUGUGGAUAUCCCAGACACAAGUACAAGUCGACAGUUGGCUGUAGAUGCUGACACCAUGAACUUGCCUCCACUUCCCCAUAAAGGUUGUGGUUAA